rnacentral:snRNA from 1 species
GGAUGUGAGGGCGAUCUGGCUGCGACAUCUGUCACCCCAUUGAUCGCCAGGGUUGAUUUGGCUGAUCUGGCUGGCUAGGCGGGUGUCCCCCUCCUCCCUCACCGAUCCAUGUGCGUCCCUCCCGAAGCUGCGCGCUCGGUCGAAGAGGACGACCUUCCCCCCUGAGGAGAGGACCGGUCUUCGGUCAAGGGUAUACGAGUAGCUGCGCUCCCCUGCUAGAACCUCCAAACAAGCUCUCAAGGUCCAAAUAUCUGAUAUGCAGGAUGUAUUUAGGCGGCCCCUGUGAAAGGGUCGUUCGA